rnacentral:rRNA from 1 species
UACGAAGGGGGCUAGCGUUGCUCGGAAUCACUGGGCGUAAAGGGUGCGUAGGCGGGUCUUUAAGUCAGGGGUGAAAUCCUGGAGCUCAACUCCAGAACUGCCUUUGAUACUGAAGAUCUUGAGUUCGGGAGAGGUGAGUGGAACUGCGAGUGUAGAGGUGAAAUGCGCAGAUAUCAGGAAGAACACCAAUGGCGAAGGCAGCUCUCUGGGACGGUACUGACACUGAGACGCGAAAGCGUGGGGAGCGAACAGG